rnacentral:rRNA from 1 species
UGGGGAAUUUUGGACAAUGGGCGCAAGCCUGAUCCAGCCAUGCCGCGUGCGGGAAGAAGGCCUUCGGGUUGUAAACCGCUUUUGUCAGGGAAGAAAUCUUCUGAGUUAAUACCUCGGGAGGAUGACGGUACCUGAAGAAUAAGCACCGGCUAACUACGUGCCAGCAGCCGCGGUAAUACGUAGGGUGCAAGCGUUAAUCGGAAUUACUGGGCGUAAAGCGUGCGCAGGCGGUUUUGUAAGACAGAGGUGAAAUCCCCGGGCUCAACCUGGGAACUGCCUUUGUGACUGCAAGGCUUGAGUGCGGCAGAGGGGGAUGGAAUUCCGCGUGUAGCAGUGAAAUGCGUAGAUAUGCGGAGGAACA